rnacentral:lncRNA from 1 species
AGCUAUCACUCUUUUCCUAUUUUAUGAUUCAAGUUUAUUGUAAUUAAGACUACUUUCUGCAAUUUCUUGUUGAUAAGAUGGUAUUAUUUUUGUUAGAUUGCCUGGUCUCUUGGAAAGCUCUUCUGAUAAAAUAAAAAUAUGGAAAAAACGAGCAUGCUCUGUUCCUGAGACUAAUAUAACGACCUGUGACAAGCAAAAGCUAAAUCCGUCAUCAGGGCAUACAUCCCAUCCAGCUAGAGUGUCUGAAACAUCUUUGAAUUCUGAUUUUACAAAAUACAAGGAUAUGAAAGAGGAAGCUGGUAUUUUCUUUAGAAAAGAGACUGCAAAUUAUAAACAGUCAAAGAUGAAAACAAAGUCUAAGGAAAUGAAAGAAGCAACAAAAUUACUAAUUAGUAACAUCAGUGACAGAUAUAAACAAAAGAUUGACGAUAAAAGCAAAUCAAGAGACUCGUCAGGUUAUAGCAGGUAUGAUGUUAACUGUUUACUCUUGUGCUUACUCUUCUUGUGUUUGUGCAUGUGGCUUUGUGUAUGACUUACUCUUCUAUCUACAGGUAUUUCACAUUCUGCUUUCAUCAGAAUUCUUUGUUCGCUUCUGGUAAACCUCGUCCUACCAAAGCGUAGGAGACUAGCAGUCUGUUUAGUAGUCCCAGUAGCUGAGAUCACUGCAGGGGUUGUCAGAAAUUCUGUUCAGUGUUCUUYCACUCAUCCACUCACUGAUAGCACUUUUCAUGGGAAGAAUUUAAUUGGGACACUUGAUGGAUGUUGCACGAUGUGU